rnacentral:rRNA from 1 species
AUACGGAGGGUGCGAGCGUUGUUCGGAAUUACUGGGCCUAAAGAGCGCGUAGGCGGCUUGGUAAGUUAGGUGUGAAAUCCCUCGGCUCAACCGGGGAACUGCACCUAAUACUGCCUAGCUAGAGUGCAGGAGGGGAGAGUGGAAUUCCUGGUGGAGCAGUGAAAUGCGUAGAUAUCAGGAGGAACGCCGGUGGCGAAAGCGACUCUCUGGACUGUUACUGACGCUGAGGCGCGAAAGCUAGGGGAGCAAACGGGAUUAGAAACCCCAGUAGUCC